GUUUGGGUCGGUUCGGCGGUUUUUAUUUCCUCAUCAUCAAAAGUAGCGGACUAAGUUAGGCUGGUUUGCGAUGGGAGUUCCACGAAUGUUCUAUGUUCUGAGGCUCAGUGAACGCACCACGAGGAGACACUUCAGUCUAUGGAGCCUCUGAACGUCACACAAAACAAGCUCAGAAGUCACGUGAUUUGUUUUGGCGAAGCGUUUUCAUCAGUCUGCUUCUCGUUUGCACCAAAUAAAUAAAUUACUUUUUUCGGGUUAAAUUGCCACAUUAUGACGUCACCAUCAUAGCUUCACAUGCAUUGGUUGUAAUCCCAGCUGAUCACGUGUUCGCUCCACCUGCCGCUGAGAGCUCAUUAAAGGUAAUUGGGUCCAGGUGAGACCGCGGGUCAGUGGUUCUGGAUGCAGUUCUGCGGUGGACUUCAGAAUUCCUUGCUGUCCAGGAAAAGUGGAGCUCCGACUAAAACAAAGAGGAAGAUCUUCAACCAGUAA